CUCGCUGGAUUUGUCCUCAAGCCAUUCACGCGAUAAAAGCCACAGACUGCAGUCACACUAAGUAAAAGUUGUGCUUAAAUAAGUAAAAAUAUAAGCAAAAUGACUAAAAUGUUGACGGUAUAUAUUGGAUUCCUUCUCCUUGCCAUGAAUUUUUUAUCACAGGUUCACGGGCAAAACGCUUCUACAAACUCCACAGACUCCCCAGCCUCAACCGCGAACGGAACAGUCGGUGGAAGUGACAGUAUGACCACGUUGAGAGAUGUAUCUGUGUCAAACAGCACUUCAAAAGGAGGCAGCACGUCCUUGCAGUCCAGUGUGUUCUCGCUCAUUAUCCCGGUGGUGGUGGGAUCACUCCUGCAGGGCCGCUUCUAGAGGCUUCGUUUACAUAGCUACAUCGAACAGACCACUACCAAGACCAACACAGGCGGCCUAAAACAGUUUUUCACCAACAGCACAUUUUUCUAAAUUAUCGAACGGCAUUUAUUGGAAUUGGGAGGUUGAAAGUGGGGACCAGAUCACAUUUCUACUUCACUGAUGGGAGUUGCCGUUGCGCUCCUACCAGGCCGACUCAAACCAAUAGGCCACGUAAGCCUACUGUGGGAACUGGCAGCAAUCCCUAUAUGGUGUGGACCAAAUAGGCAUGCUAUGUUGAGUAUGUAUAGCCUAUUUAAUUUUAAUCUUUGGCGUUAGAGGCAGCUCAAUUCUGAUGCUUUUUUUUCUUUUCACAAGGCUUAGCUUUUGAUCUUUUGAUCUGACAAAGAUCGAUGAUGCUUGGGUGAAAAAUAUCAGAAUUGGGAUUUUUGUGUAAAUGCAGCAACAGACUACGAACUAGAGACAUCUGAUUUAGAUUACACGACCCCAAUGUUUUGAUCCAGACGGCCAAUUUCACAAAAGUUUCAAAACCUGGGGAUUCUUACAAAAACGUGUAGCAAGCUGUUUACUUAAUCUAGAAAAGCUUAACGAAAAUACAAGUCAGUGUCUUGAGCUGCUAUUGUCUUUACUAGGUAUAUGAAAGUAAAACACGUUUCAUGGUUCUGCUUACGGGCUGUGCCAGGUAACGUUGCGUAAAGACUCAUGUUGGAGAAGCUAUUGGAAUGUACUGGAAUAAUAUAUUUGACUAUUUGGUACCCCAGAUUUAGAAAUUCUACUGGCUAAUGUUUUCUGCUUGCGACAUGGGCACUAAUCACACCAGAGCCAUCGCCCGAAACGCUCUCCCAGACCAAAAAACAUUUCCAGUGAGAUGUCUUGCUCUGGGGGACCGCCUACGCAUGGUAGGAGAGAUUAUCAGAGACGCGUUUGGAUACAAAUAUUGCGUGUUUGCCUGUACGUCGGACGUUUCCUUUCUAUACGUCUCUGACGCAUCCAUUGACUCGGUUGGUCCCACUGUUUCUGUGUCGUAUGGAGUAGCUUUGGACAGUUUUGUAAAAUCGUGUGAAGUGUACAUUCUGGCUGUGCCUGGGAAACCAACGGAAAUGUUGGUUGAGGCACACUGGAAAAUAAUGAAGGCCUAUCAUUUUGUCUGAUCUGUGGAAAGUAUGCGUUCAAGAGUACUUAACUGUGUCAGAGGCUUGAUAUACACUAGUGAUUUAGUCUUUCUGAUUAAAGUGUAAUUCAAUAGGCUAUUGUGGAACUUAGAUUUAAUUGUUUAAGUCAGUGAUGUAAAAUUAUUUUAGUCUUUUUUUUUUGUAUUGUCAUGUUCAAUCCAGCUUUGAAAUGUACUUAUAACAAAAAUGAUGUCUUAUGCUCUUGUACAAUAAAGUGUGAACAUAAUUUUGA